rnacentral:rRNA from 1 species
UACGUAGGGGGCAAGCGUUGUCCGGAAUCAUUGGGCGUAAAGCGCGCGUAGGCGGCCCGGUAAGUCCGUUGUGAAAGUCAAAGGCUCAACCUUUGAAAGCCGAUGGAUACUGCCGGGCUAGAGUCCGGAAGAGGCGAGUGGAAUUCCUGGUGUAGCGGUGGAAUGCGCAGAUAUCAGGAGGAACACCGGUGGCGAAGGCGGGUCUCUGGGCCGAUACUGACGCUGAGGAGCGAAAGCGUGGGGAGCGAACAGG